rnacentral:lncRNA from 1 species
UUUAAUUUUAUUUAGACAUAGAGAGUGAUCUAUACUUGAACAAUUCAAGAGGAGUAUUAAGCUAUAUUUAUGGUAUGUAGACGAUGUUUGUGUGGUAUGGAAUGGAGAGCUGACCACCAAAAUGAGAACCGCCUAGUGGAAAGUUUAACAGAUCAAACCAUGGGUUUGAAACUGAAGUUAGAACAAAGCUCUGCUAACACUUUCCAUUUCUUGGAUGUAGAGGUCAAUGUAGAAAAUGGAGAAUAUGUCACGAUCGUAUACAAGAAACCCAUGUAUACACCAGUUAUAAUACCUUCCUGGUCAAAAGAUCCUAUUAGAUAUAAGUUGGCGAGUUUUAAGUUUGUUUGCCCGAAUCCAU